CUACGGGGGGCUGCGGUGAGGAAUAUUGCACAAUGGGGGAAACCCUGAUGCAGCAACGCCGCGUGGAGGAUGACGCAUUUCGGUGUGUAAACUCCUUUUAUCAGAGAAGAAAAUGACGGUAUCUGAUGAAUAAGCUCCGGCUAACUCCGUGCCAGCAGCCGCGGUAAUACGGAGGGAGCAAGCGUUAUUCGGAAUCACUGGGCGUAAAGGACGCGUAGGCGGGACAGUAAGUCAGGUGUGAAAUCCAAUGGCUCAACCAUUGAACUGCACUUGAAACUGCUGACCUAGAGUACUGAAGGGGCAGAUGGAAUUAGUGGUGUAGGGGUAAAAUCCGUAGAUAUCACUAGGAAUACCGAAAGCGAAGGCGAUCUGCUGGGAAGUUCCUGACGCUGAGGCGUGAAAGCGUGGGAAGCAAACAGGAUUAGAUACCCCGGUAGUC
rnacentral:rRNA from 1 species